rnacentral:rRNA from 1 species
UGGUGGAGUGAUUUGUCUGGUUAAUUCCGUUAACGAACGAGACCUUAACCUGCUAAAUAGUUACACAUAACUCCGGUUAUGUGGGCAACUUCUUAGAGGGACUUUGCGUGUCUAACGCAAGGAAGUUUGAGGCAAUAACA